ensembl:lncRNA novel transcript
GGAAGCGGCCGUAAGAACAGAUGAAGCUUCACUAGCUCCCCAGCCGCUCGUCUCCUGCUGUGUGGCCUGAGAUCAAUACUGGCCAACACAUGAUGGGACAUUUUUCUUGACCCUCUCCAAUGUGAAUUACUUCCUUUUAUAUGGAAGAUUGUGAGCCCUUUGAAGACCUGAUGGAAGCUAUUGGACAGUAGAAGACACAGAGUGUACAUGCAGAAUAACUGUUGAUUGUGCUGGGAGUGCAACAACUUGAGAUAAGAAGGAACUGGCUGGAACAGUCCAAGGUCUCUCCCUGUCCCUCCUAGAACAAGAUGUCCUGCAACACUUGUGCUCAGUGAGUCAACUUCCCCUAGGUAUAAAACCUAGAGUGGAGCAUCUUUUGGCGUCCCUUGGCUGUGGUGCUGCCUAGGGCAUGUGCAGAUGGACUCUACCCACCCUGGCCAGCUUGCCUGAGCCUUGUCGGGGAGCAGGGACCCUAGGCUCCUGCUGUCCCCUGAUGCCGAUCCGCGAAUAAUAAAGUUGCUUUUCUUAA